rfam:Corynebacterium glucuronolyticum ATCC 51866 genomic scaffold SCAFFOLD2, whole genome shotgun sequence.
GCCCCUCCUCUUUCACUCGGAUCGUUUGGCACGUACCUGCCAAUGAAAGUAAAGGAAACA